rnacentral:rRNA from 1 species
GACGAACGCUGGCGGCGUGCUUAACACAUGCCAGUCGAACGGAAAGGCCCUGCUUUUGUGGGGUGCUCGAGUGGCGAACGGGUGAGUAACACGUGAGUAACCUGCCCUUGACUUUGGGAUAACUUCAGGAAACUGGGGCUAAUACCGGAUAGGAGCUCCUGCUGCAUGGUGGGGGUUGGAAAGUUUCGGCGGUUGGGGAUGGACUCGCGGCUUAUCAGCUUGUUGGUGGGGUAGUGGCUUACCAAGGCUUUGACGGGUAGCCGGCCUGAGAGGGUGACCGGCCACAGUGGGACUGAGAUACGGCACAGACUGCUACGGGAGGCAGCAGUGGGGAAUAGUGCAAAAUGGGCGGAAGCGUGAUGCAGCAACGCCGCGUGCGGGAUGACGGCCUUCGGGUUGUAAACCGCUUUCGCCUGUGACGAAGCGUGAGUGACGGUAAUGGGUAAAGAAGCACCGGCUAACUACGUG